rnacentral:snoRNA from 1 species
CUUGCACAUUGUUAGAACUCUGGUAUUUGAGACUGCUGACUGAUGAAUUCAGUGUGGGCAAUGAACCACCUAGGGCAAGGUUUUGGCUAAUACCACAAGUGUCUCUGAGUGGAGUUUGGAAGUAAUCCUACUACAAUU